AAUGAACGCUGGCGGCGUGCCUAACACAUGCAAGUCGGAUGUGCCGCAAGGUGCAUGGCAGACGGGUGAGUAACGCGUGGGGAACCUACCUCUUUGUGGGGAAUAACGUUCCGAAAGGAAUGGUAAUACCGCAUGAGACCACAGGCUGGGAUGCUUGUGGUGAAACCCGGGGACCGAAAGGCCUGGGGCAAGGAGAGGGUCCUGCGUCUGAUUAGCUAGUUGGCGGGGUAACGGCCCACCAAGGCGUCGAUCAGUAGCCGGCCUGAGAGGGUGAUCGGCCACACUGGAACUGAGACACGGUCCAGACUCCUACGGGAGGCAGCAGUGGGGAAUCUUCCACAAUGGGCGAAAGCCUGAUGGAGCAACGCCGCGUGUGUGAUGAAGGGUUUCGGCUCGUAAAACACUGUUGUAAGAGAAGAAUGACAUUGAGAGUAACUGUUCAAUGUGUGACGGUAUCUUACCAGAAAGGAACGGCUAAAUACGUGCCAGCCGCCGCCGUAA
rnacentral:rRNA from 1 species